UCCUCUAUUUGUUCAUAUCUUUUUCUUUCGUUUUCCACUAAUUGAUCUGAUAACUUGGUCACUUCGAGCUUUGUUUCCUCCAACUCAAGGCUGACUUGGGUGCCGUAUCGCAAAUGCGAAGAUGAUGGGGUAGGUAUUACAUAUUUUUCCAUCCCUCUAACGUGGCACGUGUUUUAGGAAAACAUGGUCAUAAUUUUGCCAAUUUUGAUGGGGAAGCUUAAAGAGAUUGGAUUCAAGAAUUUCACACCUUUUGUGCUGUAGAGUUUGGAAAUCUACCACCGCCAGCACUCUUGUGCCUUAUGUUAAAUUAUGAUUUAAUUUUUGGAUGUAAUAUGAAGAGGAAGAAUUAGUUUUUCAAUACCUAAUAUUUUAUUAGACGGCAAUAACAAUUUUUAGUGACGACAUUUGGCCCUUGGGAGACAUUAUUAGUGACAAUUUUUGCAACGACUAGUGACGAUAUUUGUU